rnacentral:lncRNA from 1 species
AUGCUGUCUCCUCCCCGACUCCUAACACUAGCUUGGGCUCCUAGGAAAUACUCCUGCUCCCUGUCUUCUCCAGGCUGUAGAGGAUCUGCUGCUGAACCUCUCUGGUCCCAUAAAAUCAUCCUAAUGCCUCUUAAUCCUGCAGAGGUCACAGGAACACUACUCAACACACAGCUUCUAACUCAUUAUCUGAAACUGUUUCAAGAGCCUCCACCAUCCCAUUCUCCUUCCAAUCACCAGGAAGAAGGAAAAGGGGGAAAGGGAGAAUAUUCUUCCCAAGAGUCCAGUGUGCAGACUAGCUCCUCACUUCCCCCUCCUUCCAUAGAUAGAAUGAGUUAAAACAUGCUCAUUACUGUAUUCCCUUCCGUCUGAGCAUCAUUUAAAAUUUUAAAGCAACUUCUUACAUUCUGUUAUUUCUCUAACCUUCCCAUAGCUGCCAGGUUGACUAGAAAAUGUCGUAAGCUGGAAAGCCGUGGGUCCAGCUACAAAGUGCACUGUUCCAUGACAGGACAGUUUGGAUACUGGGACCACUCGUGGCAGUCACACCACCUCAGCUCAUCUAUCAGGAGGGGUAGAAAACAGGAACUGGUUAAGAUUUCAAAACAUCCUGCCAUGCUCGUCAUCCCAAGUUGUGAUUAUUUGCUUACAAGCUCUUCUCUAUCAUUUAUCUCAGUGUUCUUAAAGCCAUUCACCCAGAAUUUAUUUUCCUGCUUGUGACCCCCCCUGGCCUGAGCCUCACAGAGUUCCUGGCUUAUGGAAGAUGCUCAAUAAAUGUUUCUUUUCAGCAUCCUACAUCAUGCACUGACUUGGCACAUUUUUGAGUGCCUAAUAUUCAUUAAGCUAAAAAUCUUCCCAUUCUCUGUCAUCUCAAAGGCACUUCCCUUGGCCAACACUCUCAAACCUCUGUGAAGUCCACUUUAUGAAGUUUGAAGAGUUUCCAUGGAAGAAAACAUACUCUCAAGUACAGAAAUAAAGAUGAGAGCUGUAGCUGUAUUUUUUUGGUCUAGGCAUCAGUUAGGAUGACAUUUUUCUGAAGACUAAGCUCUGAUUUUUUAAAAUCUUGCCCAAAUUCCUGUCUAAAGGGUCUAGGGAAUCAUGCCCUACAAGGCUAAAUUCUCAUCAGAUGCGUUUUAUUUAACCCUAUAUAUCAUGGCUUACUUUCCAAUCUGACCAUGGCAUAACAUUAUGAGACAAGGAGGAAAAUCAAAAUGUUUCACCCCAAAAUAUAUUUCCUUGCCAUAUUUGAAAUUGCCCUGCAAAGUCUCUUGUGGGAAAAAUCCACAUUGUAUAGAGAAU